UAUAUAUAUAUAUAUAUAUAUAUAUAUAUACACUAAGUUGUAUAUAUAUUCAUAUAUAUACAACUUAAUUACUUCAGUGAUUUCAUUCACGAGCUAACACAGGUGGAAAGUAUGAUAUACACAGACAGAAUGUGUGCUAUAGACAGAGGGAUUGUGUUACAUACACAAAGAGAAUGAGUGAUAUACACAGACAGAAUGUGUGAUAUAGACAGAGGGAUUGUGUUACAUACACAAAGAGAAUGAGUGAUAUACACAGACAGAAUGUGUGAUAUAGACAGAGGGAUUGUGUUACAUACCCAAAGGGAAUGAGUGAUAUACACAGACAGAAUGUGUGAUAUAGACAAAGGGAUUGUGUUACAUACGCAAAGGGAAUGUGUGAUAUACACAGACAGAAUGUGUGAUAUACAGACAGAAUGUGUGAUAUACACAGAAUGUGUGAUAUAUGUAUUGACCUUGUUUCAAAAAGGAAGAAACUGUGAAUGAUGUGCAUGUUUGUUAAUGAAGUAUGAAAGUGUUGGCUUGUUUUGAAUUAUAGAAUUUGUUUUUUAGCUUCACAAACAUUUGCCAUCAUGAUUCCUAUGUAAAGGUUAUGGAAUAUAUCCGUCCCAUGUAAGUCCUGAAAAUUGAUUGUGUUCCGGUAGUUUUGACAGAAAAGAUGACAAAUUUUGUAUGUGUAUCAGCAAAACCUGGAUUCUUUGGUCAUAUUACUGUUGCUUAGGCCUAUGUACUCUGUAUGGAAAUAUAAGGAAAAGAUCAUGUGUGGAAAUAUAAGGAGGAGUUAUCUCCCUUAUUGUUCAGAUGUUGAUAUUUAAGAUGUUUCAUUUUGUACCUGAAUUGGAGGUGGCAUGCAUAGCUGCCAUCUUGAAAAUCCUGCUAUCUGUUACAGAAGCAGGAAUUCCACUUACUGUGGAUGGUCCACAUAUUGUUCUUAGUAAAUUUCUGAUUCAUGCCGCAUUCAAAAUGGCCGCCCUCUUAAGAUUGUUUUUCUCUACAGCUCCUGAACAGAAAGUGGUAUCGAUAAAAUGGCCGCCCUCUUAAGCUUGUUAAUCUCUACUUCUCUUGAAGAGAAAGUGGUAUCAAUGAAAACUUUCACUGUUCUCUAAUGAAUUGUCCUUAUGGUCCUAAAAAAAACUUGGAUGUGUGUCACAUUCAACAUGACAGCCAUGAAAUCUUGAUUUCUCAGGUGUUCCUGAACAAAAACAAAAAGUUGGAUGCUAGUAGACCACCAAAUCCUCUGUUUCAAUAGGAACUCUUGUGCAAUUUGGGUGAAACAAACUAUAAAAGGAAAUGUUAGAACUAUUAGUUGACCAGGUUUCAGUUUCUUAGAGUAUGACUUGUGCUUUAUUUAUUAUAUUGAAAAUUUAGGGCAAAUUUAAUGUAAUUCUUGACAAGGGCAAUAUCAUUUCAAUGGAUAUACAAUUGUGUUUGAGUGUUUUUUGUUUUUUUGUUAUUAAAUCACAAGACAAAAACAGGGAUGUACUCUAGAUAAACCAUACCUAGGUUAUGCCAUGAGUACGCUCGGUUUUUGGUGAUAUACAUCAAUAACAUAGAAACGAUCCAAGGUAAUCCUUACAAUCCUCACAGAUUGCAAUACUUUUGACAUUUAUAAUUGACUGUCCUCUUUGAUCGCUCUUUGGCAAUUUAUUGGCAAAUCAAAUCUGAGGUUAAAAAUGACUUUUUAUUUAUUAUGGGAUGACAACAUCGAAAAAAUUGGCCAUUGAAAAUACUUGUUUUAUAGAAGAGUAAAUUAUUUUUUUUUAUAUUGAAAUGGCAAAGUAACAAGAGAGUGAUUGUGUUGUAGGGAUAUGAUGUAAAUAAUCGAUCAAAAUUAGCCUAGAGUGGAAGCUCAGCUGUAACUGUACUGUUUUGUUUAUUUAAUGUGAUGGACAGCUGCUUGUCUGGCAGUUGGUAAAUGUGCAGAUUUAAAUUAUUAAAACAGAUUUCAACAACCUCUAUUCCGUAUUUCGAUAUUUGGGUGAUUUUAUCUGAAUCUUCUCAAAUUUCACCUGUGAGAUUUAACUGUAACCUGGCUGCAAUAACCUAAAGAUGUCUAAAAUCAAAGAUGGCAGCUAAGAUUGACAUCUUGGAAAUGCAUUCUUCCACCAGUGCUAUGGACCUGAACAUUUUCAGCAGCUCCACCAGUGCUAUGGACCAUAAUAUUUUCUCCAGUUUCACCAGUAUUUGAACCUAAAAUUUGAUUGGAAUAUCAAAGAGGGUUUCUAGCAUAUUCUCUGUCACAAAACUACACUACUGGUCAAUGUCUGUCUUUCCAUCCAUUCUUUCUUUCUCUUCACCAGACUCUAUCCCCUACACUACUGGUCAUUGUCUGUCUUUCCAUACAUCCUUCCUUUCUCUUGACCAGACUCUAUCUCCUACACUACUGGUCAUUGUCUGUCUUUCCAUCCAUCCUUCCCUUAUCUUGACCAGACUCUAUCUCCUACACUACUGGUCAUUUUCUUUCCAUCCAUCCUUCCUUUAUCUUGACCAGACUCUAUCUCCUACACUACUGGUCAUUGUCUGUCUUUCCAUCCAUCCUUCCUUUAUCUUGACCAGACUCUAUCUCCUACACUACAGGUCAUUUGCACACCUGAAGGAGAACUAUAAUAUGUAUUGUACCAAUCUUAAGGAAGGGCAUGUUGGCACAUUUUUUAGGGCAGUUUACCAUUCUGAAGGUUGUGUACAACUGUGUGCUACUUUUGAGGACAGUGCACCAGUUUGAGGGCAGUGCACCAGUUUGAGGACAGAGCACCUGUUUGAGGACAGUGCACCAGUUUGAAGGCAGAACAAUAUCCUGAUAUGAUUUACCUGUGAAGGCAACUCUGAUCAUCUAAAUUUUAUUUAACUAAAAUGUUAUCUUUAGCAGUGGGAAAGACUGUGUUAUUGCCCAGGUUAUAGCUUGCCUUGAUUUAUUGACAUUCACAGGUACUCUUGUGUUUCACUGUGGACCCAUCUUCAUUAUCCAGCCAAGAUGACCUUUGGCAUUGAAUGUAUGGUUUGCCUCCUCUUGUCUGUGCCAAACAGUUUUCCAGCAUAUGAAUAUUUUUCCAAUCUGAAAUAUAUCAAGGUAAUCAGUGAUCAGUGUUACAGGUCCUGGUCUAAAGGUAAUCACUGAUCAGUGUUACAGGUCCUGGUCUAAAGGUAAUCACUGAUCAGUGUUACAGGUCCUCCUGGUCUAAAGGUAAUCAGUGUUCAGUGUUACAGGUCCUUCUGGUCUAAAGGUAAUCACUGAUCAGUGUUACAGGUCCUGGUCUAAAGGUAAUCACUGAUCAGUGUUACAGGUCCUCCUGGUCUAAAGGUAAUCACUGAUCAGUGUUACAGGUCCUGGUCUAAAGGUAAUCACUGAUCAGUGUUACAGGUCCUGGUCUAAAGGUAAUCACUGAUCAGUGUUACAGGUCCUGGUCCAAAGGUAAUCACUGUUCAGUGUUACAGGUCCUUCUGGUGUAAAAGUAAUCACUGAUCAGUGUUACAGGUCCUGGUCUAAAGGUAAUCACUGAUCAGUGUUACAGGUCCUGGUCUAAAGGUAAUCACUGAUCAGUGUUACAGGUCCUGGUCUAAAGGUAAUCACUGAUCAGUGUUACAGGUCCUGGUCUAAAGGUAAUCACUGAUCAGUGUUACAGGUCCUCCUGGUCUAAAGGUAAUCACUGAUCAGUGUUACAGGUCCUUCUGGUCUAAAGGUAAUCACUGAUCAGUGUUACAGGUCCUCCUGGUCUAAAGGUAAUCACUGAUCAGUGUUACAGGUCCUGGUCUAAAGGUAAUCACUGAUCAGUGUUACAGGUCCUGGUCUAAAGGUAAUCACUGAUCAGUGUUACAGGUCCUGGUCUAAAGGUAAUCACUGAUCAGUGUUACAGGUCCUUCUGGUCUAAAGGUAAUCACUGAUCAGUGUUACAGGUCCUCCUGGUCUAAAGGUAAUCACUGAUCAGUGUUACAGGUCCUGGUCUAAAGGUAAUCACUGAUCAGUGUUACAGGUCCUGGUCCAAAGGUAAUCACUGAUCAGUGUUACAGGUCCUCCUGGUCUAAAGGUAAUCACUGAUCAGUGUUACAGGUCCUGGUAUAAAGGUAAUCACUGAUCAGUGUUACAGGUCCUGGUAUAAAGGUAAUCACUGAUCAGUGUUACAGGUCCUGGUCUAAAGGUAAUCACUGAUCAGUGUUACAGGUCCUGGUCUAAAGGUAAUCACUGAUCAGUGUUACAGGUCCUCCUGGUCUAAAGGUAAUCACUGAUCAGUGUUACAGGUCCUGGUCUAAAGGUAAUCACUGAUCAGUGUUACAGGUCCUGGUCUAAAGGUAAUCACUGAUCAGUGUUACAGGUCCUGGUCUAAAGGUAAUCACUGAUCAGUGUUACAGGUCCUGGUCUAAAGGUAAUCACUGAUCAGUGUUACAGGUCCUGGUCUAAAGGUAAUCACUGAUCAGUGUUACAGGUCCUGGUCUAAAGGUAAUCACUGAUCAGUGUUACAGGUCCUUCUGGUAUAAAGGUAAUCACUGAUCAGUGUUACAGGUCCUUCUGGUCUAAAGGUAAUCACUGAUCAGUGUUACAGGUCCUUCUGGUCUAAAGGUAAUCACUGAUCAGUGUUACAGGUCCUGGUCUAAAGGUAAUCACUGAUCAGUGUUACAGGUCCUCCUGGUCUAAAGGUAAUCACUGAUCAGUGUUACAGGUCCUGGUCUAAAGGUAAUCACUGAUCAGUGUUACAGGUCCUUCUGGUAUAAAGGUAAUCACUGAUCAGUGUUACAGGUCCUCCUGGUCUAAAGGUAAUCACUGAUCAGUGUUACAGGUCCUCCUGGUCUAAAGGUAAUCACUGAUCAGUGUUACAGGUCCUGGUCUAAAGGUAAUCACUGAUCAGUGUUACAGGUCCUUCUGGUCUAAAGGUAAUUUAGUCAAAUUGCAAUUUUUGUUUAAGUUUACCUGCCAGAAUGAGAUAAUGGUACAGCACCCAUUAUCCACCAUCCGUCCACCACCAAGUUCUAGCUGUUCAAAAGAAAGACAUGGACUCAACCAAAUUUAAAGGUUACUAGAAUAAUUUGUGUCAAAAUCAUCCAGCAAUUACUUCUGCUGUAGGUUCACAGUGGCUCCAUCAGUAUUCUACUGUGGGUUCACAGUGGCUCCAUCAGUAUUCUACUGUAGGAUCACAGCGGCUCCAUCAGUAUUCUACUGUGAGUUCACAGUGGCUCCAUCGGUAUUCUACUGUGGGUUCACAGUGGCUCCAUCAGUAUUCUACUGUGGGUUCACAGCGGCUCCAUCAGUAUCCUACUGUGGGUUCACAGCGGCUCCAUCAGUAUCCUACUGUAGGUUCACAGUGGCUCCAUCGGUAUCCUACUUUAAGUACACUGUAGAGCCUUAAGUACACUGUUGUACUUUAGGUACACUGUUGUACUGUCGGUAGUGUACUGUAAGUACAUUGUUGUACCGUCGGUAGUGUACUGUUGUACUAAAGUACUGUAGGUUUACUAUCUUUUUGAAGUAUCUAAAAUGGUCAAUAAUUGUAAAAUUUUAUUUCACACAGAAAACUCUUGUAUUUAAAGUAAUUAUGGUGAUUUCAGUGAGCGAAAGUUAAUGACUGUCCAGAAAAAUUGGGGAAAAAAAACUCUGCAAUGAAAAGUAUAAGGCAUAUAUUUGUGUAAAGAUCUUGUUAGUAAAUACUUUUGAAAUGUUCUGUACAAUAUGAUUAUGUGCAAUUAGUGUAUUUAUUUGGUGUGAGGAGUGUGGUUAUAUGUGUUUAUAGAGUACUGUUAUACAGAAGUAGAAACUAAUUUAUAUUGUAAUGUUUUAUUUAUAUGGUUGACUGAUGCUUGGGCUGGAGUGUUAAAGAUGGUGUAAAGUCAGUCUUGUUUUCCUACUUAAUGUGUGAUGAUGACAGCAAGGUCUUGUCUUACACUUCUGUAAAUGUUAUGUCAUACCCUGUAGAUGUCCCCACAACUCAUGUAUGUCACGACCUAUGGACAUCCCAACAUAUCAAUAUUUAUGUCACACCAUGUGGACGUCACUGCAUCUCAGUAUAUAUGUCGUGCCUUGUGGGUGUUAUGACAUACCAUUAAUAUAUGUCACACCAUAUGGACUUCACGACAUCUCAGUAUAUAUGUCGUGCCUUGUGGGUGUUAUGACAUAUCAGUAUAGAAUAUAUGUCACAUCAUGUGGGCAUCACGACAUCUCAAUAGAUAUGUCGUGCCUUGUAGGUGUUAUGACAUACCAGUAAUAUAUGUCACACCAUGUGGACAUCACGACAUCUCAGUAUAUAUGUUGUGCCUUGUGGGUGUUAUGACAUAUCGUAUAGUAUAUAUGUCAUGCCCUGUGGAUGUCCUGACAUCUCAUACUAAAUGUCAUCACCUGUGGAUGUUCUGACAUCUCAUACUAAAUGUCAUCACCUGUGGACGUCCUGACAUAAUUGUAUAUAUGUCACACCCUAUGGUUGUCGUGAUAUCUCGGUAUAGUUGUCAUGACCUGUGGACAUCUUGGCAUCUCAUAACAAAUAACAUGGCCUGUGGACGUCCUGACAUCUCAUACUAAAUGUCAUCACCUGUGGACGUCCUGACAUAAUUGUAUAUAUGUCACACCCUAUGGUUGUCGUGAUAUCUCGGUAUAGUUGUCAUGACCUGUGGACAUCUUGGCAUCUCAUAACAAAUGUCAUGGCCUGUAUAUUUGUCAUGCCCUUUGGACGUCCUGACAUAUUUGUAUAUAUGUCAUACUCUGUGCAUUUAGACGUCCUGACAUUUUAGUGGAUGUCGCGCCAAUGGAUGUCCUGACAUCUCAGUGUAUGUCACACCAUGUAGAUGUCCUUCUAUCUUAGUAUGACACAUCCUUGUGAUGAUGUCGCACCUAAAUGUUAUUGUCAUGGCACUUGUGUGGAUGUCAUAUGCUGACAGUCCUGUGAAUGUCUUGUUUACAUUCAGCUUUUCAAUACAAGUGUGCCAUUGGUUGUCUGACUUUUGAUAUUUGUACUGUAUAAUUUCUGUUUAUCUCAAACAUGUAAUACAAAUAAAACAAAACAUGAUCAUUGA